rnacentral:rRNA from 1 species
CUUGGUCAUUUAGAGGAAGUAAAAGUCGUAACAAGGUUUCCGUAGGUGAACCUGCGGAAGGAUCAUUCAUAAUUGAGUGUUUUAUGGCACUCUUUAAAAAAAUCCAUAUCCACCUUGUGUGCAACGUUUUUGAACUCUCUGGCAUUAAAAAGCCAAGAGGGUUUGAUUAACUUAACACCUUUAAAGCAGUUUGUCUGAAUAUCUAUUUCUGAAUAAACAUAAUUCAAAAAUACAACUUUCAACAACGGAUCUCUUGGCUCUCGCAUCGAUGAAGAACGCAGCGAAAUGCGAUACGUAAUGUGAAUUGCAGAAUUCAGUGAAUCAUCGAAUCUUUGAACGCACAUUGCGCUCUCUGGUAUUCCGGAGAGCAUGCUUGUUUGAGUAUCAGUAAACACCUCAACUCCUUUAUUGUAGUUGGACUUGAGCUAUCCCAACAGGACUUUUGUUCCUGGCGGGAGGCCUGAAAUGCAGGUGCAGCUGGACUUUCUUCUGAGCUAUAAGCAUAUUUAUUUAAUCCCUUAACACGGAUUAUUACUUUUUUGCUGCAGCUAACAUAAAGGUUGAAUUUCCAUUGAGCUGACUGAUGCAGGAAUUUGGCAAGGAAUUUUUUUAAUGACUUGUUAAACUCGAUCUCAAAUCAAGUAAGACUACCCGCUGAACUUAAGCAUAUCAAUAAGCGGAGGA